GCAACCCAGUUCGCAGCCCCAGGCUGGAUGUGGGCUUGAGGUUCCCAAGAGCAGCUUUGGAGUCCCAGGCCUGGGUAGAGGGCACCUGUGGACCGAGCGUAGGGCCGAAUGAGGGUCCCGGUGGGGGAGGGGCGUGGGGAGUCCGAGAUCAUGGACAGGCGCCCAGCCAUUUGGAUGCAGUUAGUUGAAGGCUCUUCACUGUGCCGAGACGCCGUCUAGUGUGGCAUUUCGGAGGGCGGGGAUGUCCUCCCGUUUCUGAGCCCAACGAAGCCUCUAACUGCAGCUUCAGGGCCACGGGGAACCUGGGUCAAGUCCUGCGGGCAUCCCGUCCGCCCCACUGCCUUCAUUCAGGGCUGGGCCUCGGAAGCGUUUUGUUCACGCCUGCCCUCUGGCUAUCUCGCCUGCUCCCAGAGGCAUCUUGGGUGCAGACUACAGUCAGUAAGUGAAGGAGCCUCCUGAUCCUGGCCCGGAUACCAGCACUUACCAGAGUGGAGUUUACGUUGCACGCCUACCUGCAGCAAUGGCGAGGAAGCUGGAAACUGCACAAGUGCAAAAUCUCCCAGAAUCCCUCUGAGUGGGCUUGAGAGGGCAGAGAGUCUGAAUGGAAAGCUUAUUCUGAUUGGAGACACAGCCUUCGGAUCCAGACAGGUAGCUAGGGCAUUCCCUGGUGGUCCAGUGGUUAUGACUGUGUGCUCUCACUGUCGAGGGCUCUGGUUCAAUCCCUGGCUGGGGAACUAAGAUCCCACAAGGUGCGUGACGUGGCCAAAACAACAACAACAAAAAACCCAAAAAAUUUUUUAAAAUUAAAAAAAAAAGUAAAGGGAGCUAAAGCACAGGAUCGUGAUGCUGAAUUAUGGGAGGGGGAAUAUUGGCAAGGGGUGAGGAGUGCUGCUGAAAGGGGAGGAAAAGUCUGGGAUUGCGGGGGGCUUGGGCUCCAUGGUGAGUAGUGGGGAUCUACUGGGGGGCUGCCAGCCGCCACUGGGAUGAAGCAUCCUGAGGAAGUGGAGGGGAUGGGCAGUGGAAAGUCCCAGGACUAGGCUGCCACUGCUGCCCCUCUUCCAGAGCCAUGUGGGAGGGGGAAGGGCCUUAGGAGACCUCUCUGCACAUCCUGAUAGAUAUCAUUUGGAGCUUCCCAUGAAGGGACUCAGUGCCUGCCCAUUGAGGGCCAGCACAGCCCCACCCUCCUGUCUAGGCAGCCGAAGGACCAGCUGUCAGUGCUGCUCCUGGGAGGAGGUAGAUGCUUCUCAGGAGGGAGAGUUCUGGGUCACGACUCAAGGAGCAAGCAGCAGGGACCCUCUGCCCCUUGUUGCCAAAGUUUCUGACCCAGAGGAAUGAGCUUAUAUGUGGAGGGUCCCAUCCCUCCACCCCUGUAUGCGUGAUGGAGAGGAGAUGGUUCUCAGGAAACCCCUGUAACUGAGCUGGGGGCAGGGACACCUGAGUUCUGCUGAACUUAAAGGUUCACCAGAGGGGAAAUACUCUUAGAGGUGGAAGGAGUUGCUCAGGAGUUCCCUUCCCCCAACCUCUCAGCCUGUCAGCAGGCCUUGGAGCUGUAGCAGUGACCAAGGCCAACCUGCCAUCCCAGAAUUCAGUCUGAUACAGGAGGAAGACAAGUAAAGAAGAAGACAAGUGAAGAGGUCCUUGCAAUACAGUGUGACACGUGCUGUGAUGGGGAAGCACAAGGCCCCAGGAGCAGAGGAGACAUUGCCCCUGUGUGAUGGCAUGGGUUUUCCGGAGGGAAUCAUAACCAGAGAGCUCCGUGAUAGAGGCCCACACUCUGGCAUCAGAAAAAUCUAGGCUUGUGGCCCUGCAAACAAUAUUGUAGCGAUUGUUCCAAGCAGCACAGAAAGACCUACUGCAUUCUUUCUGACAAUUUGAGAUCCUAGAAGUGGGGUUAUUGGGCCCUACAGGGGCUGCAAUCUGAUAUUACCCAACUGUCUUCGAAGAUUUUGCAUCAAUUCUGCUGCAGCUGCUGUGGUUGAGAAGGUCUGUCUCCUCACACCAAGGCCAUUCUCCCGGUAUCUUAGUUCCCUCACCAGAAAUAGAAUCGUGCCCCUUGCAGUGGAAGCACAGAGUCUUAACCACUGGACUGCAAGGGAAGUCCCAGUUUGUAUUUUUUUUUUAAGAUUUUUUGAUGUGGACCAUUUUUAAAGUCUUUAUUGAAUUUGUUACAAUAUUGCUUCUGUUUUAUAUUUUGGUUUUUUGGCCAACAGGCAUGUGGGAUAAGAUCCCUUAGUUCCCUGACCAGGAAUUGAACCCACACCCCCUGCAUUGGAAGGUGAAGUCUUGACCAUUAGACCACCAGGGAAGCCGCCAGUUUGUAUUUUUAAAAGUUUUCAGUGUCUCCAAUUUUGUGUGUGUGUGUGUGUAUUAAAAACAAGUAUUGCCAGGGAAUUCCCUGGCAGUCCAGUGGUUAGGACUGGGCACUUUCACUGCCGGGGCCCGGAUUCAAUCCCAGGUCCGGGAAGUAAGAUCCCGCAAGCCGCACAGUGCGGCAAAAACAAAAAUAAAACAAACAAAAAACGAACCAAACAAAACGAAAGCAAGAACAACAAGAAACAAAAAACCAUGUAUCGCCAUUAUAAAGCUCUGGGGAGUGUGAUUUGGCAAAAUCUAUUCAGCAUUAAACUUCACAUAUCCUUUGACCCAUCAACCCAACUCCUGGUUAUUUAUCCUAGAGAAAGAAAAACACAGGAAGUAUAUGUUACAUAUAUGUGUGAAUAUAUACAUAUGCAUACAUAUGUAAGAGAAUGUUUAGCUCCAAUACUGUUUGCGAUAAUAGGCCUGGAAGCAACCUGAACACUCAUCAGUACGGGAAUGUUUGAUUAAAUUUCACUGCACUUGCAAAUUGCAACUUUAAAAGUGAGUGAUAUAUAUAGAAAAAUGGUACAAAUCAACUGGUUUGCAAGGCAGAAAUAGAGACACAGAUGUAGAGAACAAACAUGGACAUCAAAUGCGGAAAGCGGGGAGGGUUGGGGGGGAAUGAAUUGGGAGAUUGGGAUACCAAAUUGUACACUCUAAAUAUAUGCUGUUUAUUGUUUAUUAACUGUAUCUCAAUAAAAGUUCUUUUAAAAAAAGUGAUAUAUAUCUGAAGGGAGUGUAAUUCAGGCUCUGUGGAGAACAAUUUGGCGCCAUCAAUAAAAGUGAAAAAUUCAA